GCGAUCAUGGUGCAGAAGCAGCACACGAGGAUGCCAGCCUCGAGACCUGGGUGCGAAUCCCGGUGAUCGCU
rnacentral:tRNA from 1 species